UCUCUGGGGUCGAGAGCUCCGCCGGCGGAGCUCGACAAGAUUUCGUUGCUAUUUGGAUGAAUAACUUCGCGAGCUUUUAUCAUACGGACACAACAAAGACAUUGACAUAAACCUUAGAAUCGUGGCAUUCCAAUGUACCCAUUGACAAAAUAUAUGAAUUGUUUUAAGCUAUUUAAAAUGAGAUCAAACUGACCAUUGCCAUGUGCUAAGUCUUUCUCAUUAAUAUGUGAUGUUCGCUCGGCAGUAAGUACGCCCAGACCACAUUCACAAGAUAAUGACAUGCUAAUUGCUAUCGAUGGCAGGGGAGGGGCGAUGCGUUUGAUGUGCGAGAGCGCCUACUGUAAACAAGGAUAAAAUGUCACACAGAAGCAUAGCCCACGUCUUCUCGGGCAAUCCUUACAUUUCAUUUCGGAAAAUGGCACGAAUGACUGGACUGGAUGUUCUUCAUGCUUUGUGGGAGAGCGACCAUGAAGACGCGAACUCAUCAGGUCCGGACACUGAAGCUGACACUGAUGAAGAACGAUGUCAUUUCGAACUGCGAACUGAUCCAGCUGAGGAUCAACUUCAUGAGUUUUUGUGAAGUGGAUGGACACACGAGAGGUGUCUGUCUGUUCCACCAUCCAUGCAGCAUUCACUGGGGACACAAUACAGCGGAGGGUGAAGCAAGAUGGUGUCUGGAUUUCAAAGAACUUUCCAUGCCCAUCACCUAUCAUCCAGUACAAUGCACACAUGGGGGGUGUUGAUCUGUCUGACCAACUGAUACAGUAUUACACAACACAGCACAAAACAAUGAGAUGGUACCGGAAAUUGUUUUUACAUUUCUUGGACAUUGCUGCCUCAAAUGCGUAUAUCCUACAUAAAGAACUGUCAUCACUGGGACAACAGGAAGCAAUGCCUCACAAGGCCUUCAUGGAGGAGCUCACUGCGCAGCUGUGUGGCGUCUCACAGAAGGCACCCAAUGUAACAAGACGGGAAUGUUAUGAUCAUGUGCCUGUGCCUACAGCCUCACACUCUGGAUGCCAGCAAGGUGGCUUCGAUUGGUCGCAAGACAUGUAAACUCUGCAGGAUGGACUUCGGGAAAAAACAACCCGUGGCAACCAUUCUGGAGUCAAAUUGUGUGUGUGAAGCAGAAAUAUUGGGUUUAUAUUGUGUAAAUGCUCUUUUAUAUUAUGCACUUUGCCUAAUAAAGUUGAUUCUGAUUCUGAAAUAA